rnacentral:rRNA from 1 species
UACGGAGGGGGCUAGCGUUGUUCGGAAUUACUGGGCGUAAAGCGCACGUAGGCGGCUUUGUAAGUUAGAGGUGAAAGCCCGGGGCUCAACCCCGGAACUGCCUUUAAGACUGCAUCGCUUGAAUCCAGGAGAGGUGAGUGGAAUUCCGAGUGUAGAGGUGAAAUUCGUAGAUAUUCGGAAGAACACCAGUGGCGAAGGCGGCUCACUGGCCUGGUAUUGACGCUGAGGUGCGAAAGCGUGGGGAGCGAACAGG